rnacentral:rRNA from 1 species
AUUGAACGCUGGCGGCAUGCUUUACACAUGCAAGUCGAACGGCAGCGCGGGCUUCGGCCUGGCGGCGAGUGGCGAACGGGUGAGUAAUACAUCGGAACGUGCCCAGCAGUGGGGGAUAGCUCGGCGAAAGCCGGAUUAAUACCGCAUACGACCUGAGGGUGAAAGCGGGGGAUCUUCGGACCUCGCGCUAUUGGAGCGGCCGAUGGCAGAUUAGCUAGUUGGUGGGGUAAAGGCCUACCAAGGCGACGAUCUGUAGCUGGUCUGAGAGGACGACCCGCCACACUGGGACUGAGACACGGCCCAGACUCCUACGGGAGGCAGCAGUGGGGAAUUUUGGACAAUGGGCGAAAGCCUGAUCGAGCAAUGCCGCGUGUGUGAUGAAGGCCUUCGGGUUGUAAAGCACUUUUGGCGGGAACGAAAAGGACUGUGCCAAUACCACGGUUCGAUGACGGUACCCGCAGAAUAAGCACCGGCUAACUACGUG